rnacentral:lncRNA from 1 species
CGCAAAGCCAGCGGGAAGGCCUCGGCUAGCUUGGUGUUGUUGGGCAGGCCGUGCACGCGGCUGUCGGGCAGCGGCGUGCGGUGGCGGCACACCGGGCACGCGAUGGCGCCGGGCGGGCAGAGCCAGGGCGGCGGGCGCGGCGGGCGCUCAGGCGCGGCGGCAGCGGCGGCGGCGGCGGCGGCGCGGAGCUGCAGCUGGCUCAGGCACUCCUGGCAGAAGGUGUGCAAGCACGCCAGCAGCUUGGGCGCGCGCCGGUCCGCGUCGAAGUAGUUGUAGCAGAUUUUGCACUCGUAGUCCUCAAGCGGAGGGAGGCCGGAGACCGUCUCCGCUGCGUCCCGGGCUCCUGCGUCUCCGCAGUCCGGGGCUCCCUUCGCGGCGACCCCAGCUCCCUCCCGGCUCCCGGGGCUGCUGCUUGGGCUCUGCUGGCUGCCGCCGCUGUCGCUCGCCGGCGCUGCCAUGGCAUGAUCCGCCCCUCAUCGGGGGCAAGGUGAGGUGCCUUCCUCCCCCUGCACCGCCGCCUGGGCUCCGGGCGGGGAGGAGGCGCUUCUGCCUCCCCCCUCUGACUGCUGUCGCCUGGCGGGGGAGGCACCGCUGGCUGGGCCAGGCGGGGGCGCAGCAGCGACCGCCUCCCCCUCCCGCCUCCCCGUCCCCCGCCCCCGGCGCGUGCACCACGGUCCCUCCCCGUCCCUGGGCUCCUCUGCAGUCCCCCUCGGCCUUCUCAACGCAGCUUUCCCAGCAGCUUAGGAUAUCGGUUUUUGUUGGACUUGAAAUUGGGAGUUGAGGGCGGCCUGGAGGCGCUCGGGAAGGAGAUUUGGGAGCUCACCAGUGAUGUAAUGCGGGACCCGCGCGGGGAGGGGAAACGGCAGCCUCAACCGCCUGGCAGCGGCGGUUUCUUCUCUUCGUGAAAAUCGUGAUCUCAUCUCUCCGUCCAUGGGCGAAAAAACAGCCAUCACCAGGCCAUUCACGCUUUGUGCUUUUGUUAGCAGAGCCCAGGCAGCCCUGCAGCCCACAUCUAGGGUACAAACGGAACGGCGGCGUUUUCCUUGUAUCAUUUAGAGGAAAUUUUUGAGCUGAACAGUAUUUUUUUUCUCCCUCUCUCUCUCUCUGAAAUAUUGCUGAGAUUUAAAGGAGGACGAAGACAACAGAUUCAUAGCUGGGUCUUGCUGUUUUCCUGACGCUGACCACAGCGGAUCUAGGUGGCUAUUUCGUUGGUGCACAGGCGUUCACAGAGGCAGAGAGGGGAGAAAGUUGUCAAACAGAUUCACAGACUGUCAAAGUGCGGCUUAAACCGAGUUCCUGGGCUCCCUCACUGGCUUCGUCCACUUAAACUUUUAACGUACACAUGUAGAGAGCUGAAACUCCAGGGGUAACAUGGGACAGGUCCUCUUGAUUUAAUGAAAACAGAAGAUCAACUGGACCGGGUAGCAAGAAAUAAGGCUUAAGAAGCACUGGUUUCUCUGCAGAAGACAGCAAGAUGCCCCAGGGAAUGUUUGUGAAAAAGGAUGACUGGAUGGGAAGCAAGCUGAAGAAAAAGAAGGAAAGAAAGAGAGAAAUCAGUAAAUCACCACACAAGAGGUGGAGAAGAGGACUUAUAAAUAUUGUUUCUAUGACAU